UACGGAGGGGGCUAGCGUUGUCCGAAGUUACUGGGCGUAAAGCGCGCGUAGGCGGGUUUGGUAAGUCCGCUGUGAAAGCCCGGAGCUCAACUCCGGAGGGUCGGUGGAUACUGCCAGUCUUGAAGGUGCUAGGGGGAGAUGGAAUUUACCGGUGUAGCGGUGAAAUGCGUAGAUAUCGGUAGGAACACCAGUGGCGAAGGCGGUCUCCUGGGGCAUUCUUGACGCUGAGGCGCGAAAGCUGGGGGAGCAAACGGG
rnacentral:rRNA from 1 species